CGGGGUCCAGCCGCCCCGGGCCGCGCGGGCCGCCAGGUCCCAGCCCGGGUCCCCUCGGCGCCCCGGAAGGGCUGGGGAGCCCGCGGCCCUGGGGGCGGAGGCGCGGCCGGGGCACGGUGACCAGGCCGGUGUCCCGCCGCCUCUAAACUUAGCCGCGGUGACGCGCGGCCCGGCCAUCGCGGCGGGGCCGGGGACGCAGGGGGCCCGAGCGGAGGGGGGCGGCGCGGCUCCGCGAGCCUCUAUUUAUAGCGCCCCGCGCCCGAAAUAGCGCGGAGCCGAGCGGCCGGUAUGACGCGGGAGCCGCCAGGGGCUGACUCACCCGGGCCCAAGCGGAGGCCCCCGGAUGGGGACAGUGGAGGCGCCUGGACCCGACCCUGCGCCCUCCUGGACGCCUUUUUUUUGCUGGGACAUCCUAAGUGAAUAGGACGUGGGUGGAUAUGCGGUGAAACCGAAGGACUGCAGCAUGAGACAGUGAAGUUGGCUCAGAGGAAGAAGAAGGUGGCCUCCUCCAGAAGGACAAACAGCAGGGACAAAUAGCAGAGCUAAGAAACAAGAGCGUGAAGAGAAAGUCUACAGAAUGGGAGAAAAUCUUGGCCACCUGCUCCUCCAAUAGGGGAUUCAUAUCCAGAAUCUACGGAGGACCCAAAAAACUUCACACCAAAAACAUAAUAAUAACCCGAUCAAUAAAUUGAAAAAAAAAAAAAA